CUUCCGAGUUCCCUGGAACGGGACGCCAUAGAGGGUGAGAGCCCCGUCUGGUUGGAUGCCAAAUCUCUGUAAAGUUCCUUCGACGAGUCGAGUAGUUUGGGAAUGCUGCUCUAAAUGGGAGGUAUAUGUCUUCUAAAGCUAAAUAUUGGCCAGAGACCGAUAGCGCACAAGUAGAGUGAUCGAAAGAUGAAAAGCACUUUGAAAAGAGAGUUAAAAAGUACGUGAAAUUGUUGAAAGGGAAGCGUUUAUGACCAGACUUGGACUUGGUUAAUCAUCUGGGGUUCUCCCCAGUGCACUUUUCCAGUUCAGGCCAGCAUCAGUUUUCGCCGGGGGAUAAAGGCUUCGGGAAUGUAGCUCUCUUCGGGGAGUGUUAUAGCCCGUUGUGUAAUACCCUGGCGGAGACUGAGGUUCGCGCUUCUGCAAGGAUGCUGGCGUAAUGGUCAUCAACGACCCGUCUUGAAACACGGACCAAGGAGUCGUCUUCGUAUGCGAGUGUUCGGGUGUCAAACCCCUACGCGUAAUGAAAGUGAACGCAGGUGAGAGCUUCGGCGCAUCAUCGACCGAUCCUGAUGUUCUCGGAUGGAUUUGAGUAAGAGCAUACGGGGCCGGACCCGAAAGAAGGUGAACUAUGCCUGUAUAGGGUGAAGCCAGAGGAA
rnacentral:rRNA from 1 species